rnacentral:rRNA from 1 species
AGAGUUUGAUCCUGGCUCAGAUUGAACGCUGGCGGCAGGCCUAACACAUGCAAGUCGAGCGGAUGAAGGGAGCUUGCUCCUGGAUUCAGCGGCGGACGGGUGAGUAAUGCCUAGGAAUCUGCCUGGUAGUGGGGGAUAACGUCCGGAAACGGGCGCUAAUACCGCAUACGUCCUGAGGGAGAAAGUGGGGGAUCUUCGGACCUCACGCUAUCAGAUGAGCCUAGGUCGGAUUAGCUAGUUGGUGGGGUAAAGGCCUACCAAGGCGACGAUCCGUAACUGGUCUGAGAGGAUGAUCAGUCACACUGGAACUGAGACACGGUCCAGACUCCUACGGGAGGCAGCAGUGGGGAAUAUUGGACAAUGGGCGAAAGCCUGAUCCAGCCAUGCCGCGUGUGUGAAGAAGGUCUUCGGAUUGUAAAGCACUUUAAGUUGGGAGGAAGGGCAGUAAGUUAAUACCUUGCUGUUUUGACGUUACCAAUAGAAUAAGCACCGGCUAACUUCGUGCCAGCAGCCGCGGUAAUACGAAGGGUGCAAGCGUUAAUCGGAAUUACUGGGCGUAAAGCGCGCGUAGGUGGUUCAGCAAGUUGGAUGUGAAAUCCCCGGGCUCAACCUGGGAACUGCAUCCAAAACUACUGAGCUAGAGUACGGUAGAGGGUGGUGGAAUUUCCUGUGUAGCGGUGAAAUGCGUAGAUAUAGGAAGGAACACCAGUGGCGAAGGCGACCACCUGGACUGAUACUGACACUGAGGUGCGAAAGCGUGGGGAGCAAACAGGAUUAGAUACCCCGGUAGUCCAA